GCCGGGCGGUCGAGAGCCGGUCGUUGGGAAACACCGGGCACCAGACGUGUGUAAAAGCAGCUCUGUGGGAGAUACACACGCUUUGGCCGAACUACAUACCGUCAUUCCCCACUGACGACUGGGCCGACAUAUCUAAUGAGGAGCCUUCCUAGACAGAACAUCUUCAAGUCUUCACAAAUCCACAGUCAGCACCUGUUACGUUCAAGACUUCUUUGAGUGUCACUCUUUCAGUCAGGGUGUCUUGGACUUAACAUCUGCUGUGAAAGAUGGUGCAUUGGAAGUGCAGCCUGGCAUCUUCUGCACCAUCUCCAGAGGCCCUGCAGGCUGCCAUCGAAUAGUCAUCCAAGUGUUAGUCUUGAACAUAAAUGUACACCAGCCCCGAAGUCUGAGAUGGAUUGUAGCUAAGCAGUUCAUGAAAAAUGCUCUCCAUUGUUCUUUUGACAUCUGAGCUCUUCCCCCAUGUUUUUUGUUUUAUUUCUUCUUCUCAAAUAUUAUUAGCAGGACAGUAUGCUAGA